CUACGGGUGGCAGCAGUAGGGAAUCUUAGACAAUGGGGGAAACCCUGAUCUAGCCAUGCCGCGUGAGUGAUGAAGGCCUUAGGGUUGUAAAGCUCUUUCGCUGGGGAAGAUAAUGACGGUACCCAAUAAAGAAACCCCGGCUAACUCCGUGCCAGCAGCCGCGGUAAUACGGAGGGGGUUAGCGUUGUUCGGAAUUACUGGGCGUAAAGCGCGCGUAGGCGGGCUAUUAAGUCAGGGGUGAAAUCCCGGGGCUCAACCCCGGAACUGCCUUUGAUACUGGUAGUCUUGAGUUCGAGAGAGGUGAGUGGAAUUCCGAGUGUAGAGGUGAAAUUCGUAGAUAUUCGGAGGAACAUCAGUGGCGAAGGCGACUCACUGGCUCGAUACUGACGCUGAGGUGCGAAAGUGUGGGAGCAAACAGGAUUAGAUACCCUUGUAGUC
rnacentral:rRNA from 1 species